rfam:Hordeum vulgare subsp. vulgare, WGS project CAJW01000000 data, contig: morex_contig_48377
UUGCUACUCCCUCCGUCCGAAAAUACUUGUCAUAGGAAUGAAUGUAUCUAGAUGUAUUUUAGUUCUAGAUACUUUCAUUUUUAUCCAUUUAUGUGACAAGUAAUUUCGAAGGAAGGUAGUAUUAU